rfam:Schistocephalus solidus strain NST_G2 genome assembly, scaffold: SSLN_scaffold0010226
GAGCCCGUUGCUCAAUGGUUGAGCGUUCGACUUAAAUACCAAAGAUCGCGGGUUCAAAUCCCAGGUUUG